GUGAAAGGGGCCGCCGCCGCCACGAGGGGGAGGGGACCGAGGCGCGGGGGCCCGCGAGGGGAGGUCGGGGACGAGGGCGAGGACGCAGGAGCGGGCGAAGGUAGCCUCUAAUUACUGUGUAGCUGAGAGGACCUUGAACUUCUUCCCGCAUCUAUCUCUAGGGUGCUGGAUUACAGACGUUUACCAUUGUGCGCACGCACUCAUCACAAGCCAAAUACAGUCUGUGCUGCAAGACUUCACUGUUGCUGGGCAAGUGCUCUCCAACCGAGCUACGGACCCAACCCUGUUUUUAACAGUUUACCAUCUGAUUUUAAAAUCUGCAACUAUCAGACUGAGGAGAUAGCUCAGCAGUUAAGAGCACUCACUGGCUGUUCCUUCAGAGGACCUGGAUUCAAUGCCCAGCACCCGCAUGGUCCUCAUAACAGUCUAUAGCUCCAGUUCUUGGGGAUCGGUCGUCCCAGGCAUGCAUGCACAAGAUACACAUAUAUGUGCAUGCAGGCAAAAGACCCAUACACAGAAAAUAAACAAUUAAAAAGUGCAACUAUUACAAGGUUUUGGUUCAACUUGUUUGUGACAGUGUCUAGCCUUAGCUGUCCUGGAACCAAUUAGAUCAGAAAAGCUCGGAACUCAUGGUGAUCUGCCUGCCUAUUUCUGGAGUCCUGGAAACAAUUCUUAGUUUGUAAGACGUACCAAAAGGUGUUGGGUCACCAGGCCUGAAAGUACAUGCCUGUAAUCCUAAAACCAGAGGUAGAAGCAAGGGCAUUAAGUUAGAAGCCAGCUAGGGUAUGUAGUUUACUAAAACAAACAAACUGGGGCUGGAGAGAUGGCUCAGUGGUUAAGAGCACUGACUGCUCUUCCAGAGGUCCUGAGUUCCCAGUGACCACAUGGUGGCUCACAGCCCUCUGUAAUGGGAUCUGAUGCCCUCUUCCGGUGUGUCUGAAGAAAGUGACAGUCUAUUCACAUAUAUAAAAUCUUAAAAAAAAAAAAAAAAAAGACAAGAAUGCUGAGUUAGAUUUCCCCUCUGGGCUGCCCACUGCUGAUCUAAGGGCACAUAGCCUGAACUGGAGGCAGUCUAGGAUAAAAUAUGAAUGGAAGUACUGUCUAGUGCCCAAGCCAUAGGUGCAAGGGGAGUGAGAGCUGUUUCUAAUGGAGAUAAGUUAUUCUGAGUUGCUUAAAAAGUGACUUUUCUGGUGGUACUAGACACUGAAUCUGGGACUUCAUGAAUGCUAGGCAAAUGCUCUAUUCUUGAGCUAUGUGCCCUGCAGAGCUUUUCUCUCUUGAGAUUGUCUCACUAAAUUGCCCAGGCUGACUUUGAACUGACACACUGACCCUGACAGUGAACUUUCAAUCCACGGCCCUAAACAAAUGAAGGAGGCCAGUAAACUAAUGGAUGUUAGUACCUUCUAAAUGACAUUAUUAGCAGAAUAAAAAAAAAAAAAAAAAAAAACUGCUGCUCUGGGCUGGUGAGAUGGCUCAGUGGUUAAGAGCACUGACUGCCCUUCCAGAGGUCCUGAGUUCGAAUCCCUGCAACCACAUGGUGGCUCACAACCAUCUGUAGUGAGAUCUGAUGCCCUCUUCUGGUAUGUCUGAACAGCUACAGUAUACUUAUAUACAAAAUAAAUCUUUAAGAAAAAAAACUGGCAAUUUUCAUCAGUGUUCAAACUUUUUUUUUUCCCCUUCUGGAGACUUUCAGCUCUAAAAUCCAGAGUCUACAAUCUCACUGCAACAAAUUAAGGAAACAUACUUUUCCCCCUCAAAGCCAAGACUGUAAUCUUUGGAUUGACUCAUCUUAGUUCAACUCCAAGAUAUAAACCACCAGAAACUGAGAAGAGGUCUUUUUUGCGUUUUGACUUUAGGAACUAUUUUGAGACAGGAUGUCAUUCUAUGGCCCAGACUGACCUCAAAUUCUCUGUGACCUUCCUCGGCCUCCCAUAGUGCUACAGGUGUGAGCCUCCAGGCAAAGAAUUCCUUUCAUUAGAAUUCUUGCUUCUAAACCAUCAAGUUUUAAACUGUGGUGAUUCCUGAACUAAAAAGUACAAGGAAGUAGGUUUCAAAGUGUAAAGGCCAGGAGAGGUGUGGUGAGGCACGCCUGUGACCUCAGCUCUGGAAGGAGGCUGAGGCCAGAGAAUUGAGUUCACCCUGGUGUACAUAAUGGGUUCUAGGCCAGCCUCGGCUACAAUUUCAGACCCUGUUCCAAAAACAACAAAAAACUAAGUGGAGUCCGUUGUGAGGGGACCUAAAAGAAGCGGUGCUUAAUACCCGUAAGUUAAAUCCCUAAAUUUUUUUAUCAGUAGUGGAAUGCUAAGCACUUUGCCCAGUGGCCGCAAGUUUGGAGAGGGUUAAUACCAAUCUUUCACCGUCCUGCACAGGUUUAUGGAAUUGCUGGACUCCGUUCCUGUUUUCUCCAUUUUUUGAAGGGCAUCCCUAUGGAGUGAAAAAGCAUUUGGCAAACCAUUUUACCUGCCUGUGUCUUGGUUUUCCCAGUCACCACACCCGCCUCCACCACAUCCCCCAAAUAAGGAAGCAAGAGUAGCUCAUCUUUCCGGUCUCUCUCUCUCUCUCUCUUUUUUUUCUGACAGCGAGGCUGCUGACAGGGGGCAGAACUUGGUAGUAAAAAAAAAAAGCGAAUGUUUGUCUUGGCUUCUCUCCAGGGAGAGGAUUCUCCCGGGUGGCUUUCCGAGGCGCUCAGAAAGGUAAAUAAAAACUGGAGUUCCGUGGACGACAUUAGCCUAGUCCCACACGGCACCGAAGGGAGACCACGGCCAUGCUCGCCACCUUGGAGGUUAGGACACCAAUCAGUACGGAGCCAAAAGUUUCUGCCGAAGCUUUGUGGGGCUCAGAGCGCUUUCGGCCAGCAGCCCUGUGGUCCGUUCCGGCACGCCUGAGGGAGUCCCAGUCUACUAGUCCUCUCCAAGGACGGAUAUACCCAACUGCUUUUUUCAGUUCCCUUUACAAUAUGGUCACAACUCAAAUUUGUGUGUGUGUGUUUAAUUAUUUCUAUCCCCCUCCCCCCCACUUUCAGACCGCCCCGCCAAAAUUUUCAGUCUGUCCUUCCCACUCCACGUGGACCUCCCUUCCCUGUCCCAGCAACCCCUGCGAGAGCCACCCCUAACACGUGGUCAAUUGUUGUGUUUCCUUCCUCAGGCUCCCACUUAGCAAGCAUCCGUUAGCCACUGAACAAAGGUGCCCUCUUGAGGAUGACUUUGGGGCAGCAGCCUAGGUUAUUGAGCGCUUAGAAACUAUGCAAUAAUGCUGCUUCAGCUUAAAAUGACUUCAUACCGCAUACUUCUCUGGUUAAUGACCUUAAGGAUUGGGGCUGGCGUUGCAGAGCAGUCAGAGGGCAAAGGCAGGGGAAUCUUCUGAGUUCGAUGUCAGCCUGGCUUACAUAGCAAGUUCCAGACCAACCAAAACAACAAAAUAAGUAACUUUAAGGAUUGCACAGAAGAGAAGUCAGACUUCAUGGUGUUGGGUCACGGGCACAGCACCUCUCUGCAUUGAAUGGACCGUUCCUAAAUGGCCUCCUUAACAACACUGUAAGUAAUUCUCUCUAUGUGAGCUCAGUCCGACUGGUCAAGCUAACAGGUUUCUAAAAUAAUAUCUCUUGUUCAGCAUUAAGAACACAUUGAAUGGAGAGAGAGUCCCAGAAGAUGGUUUUAGAAGGAGGAGGAGAAGGUAAGCAGCAAAAAUUAGUCCAGGGCCCAGCAUGGUGGACCAUGCUUUUAAUCCCAGCACUGGAGAGGCAUACGUGUCUCUGAGGACAGCCAGGUCUACGUAUGGAGUUCCAGGACAGCUGGGACUAUAUAGAGAGAACCUGUCUCAAAAAAAUAAGUUAAUAAAAUUAAAGAUAGUGGUAUGGGAAUCUUGAACCUGGUUUGAGGUCUCUCUUCUCUCAACACCAUGAUUCACAGCUUAUGUGGGAAAAUUAAAACAGGGGGGAAAAAUCCUUUACUAGAAGUAAAGUUGGCUGAGGAACGGGAGCUAUAGUUAAGCAGUGGAUUAUGGGUAGUGUUCACAGAAAGGAAGGGCUACACAGUGUGGAGAAGAAGGGUUGAAUUUGGUACAAGCCUAUUCCAAUCCCAACACUGGAGAAGUUAAACUAGGAAGCGUGGGGGCAGAGAGGGUGCAAAGAAGGCUCAGUAAUUAAGAGCAUUGGUUGCUCUUCCAGAGGACGAGUCCCAGCACCCACAUGGUGGCUAAUGACCAUCUGUAACUCCAGUUCCAGGGUACCCAAUGCCUUCUUCUGGCCUCCGCGGCUACCACUGGCAAUCUCUCUAUCCCUCUCCCCCCCCCCUCUGUUUAGCCCCUAAUAAACAAACAAAUUGUCGUUCUAAGGUCACAGAACUCUAGCCCAAGAGCUACAAGUAGGUGCCCAGAGCACCUACUUUUAAAGAAAGAGUCCCAAAUCGAGCAAGUGAGAAGACUGAAAACGCUGGCUGGGCCACUUGCUCUCCUAUAAGUCAGCAACUGUCAACGCUCCGGUUACCAGGUGCUAUUUCCAGUGAGCAGGGUUUGGGAUGAAGAAAAGGGAGGGGCAGAGACGUCUAGGCAAAGGGAGACCCAGUGAGCUCCUCCCUGCCAGCCCAGCUGCAGUUCUUGCUUUUAGCCACUCGGGGGCGCCCAAGCUCAACUAGAGUAAGGGGGACCGAGCACAAGCAACCUAAAGUAGCUAGCUGCUAGAGGACAGCUUAGAACGUCAGGGAUGACCCUGAAUGGAGAGUUGACGCAAGGGCCCUCUGCUCUGAGGCUGCCGACUCUGAGCCGCUGAAAGGCAUUCCCACCUCAUCUCCGCAAAAAGGGACUCGUGUCACUGGAGACACACUCUCUACCUUCUCCGAACUUCCUCCCCCCCACCUCCACACUAUGGUCGCUUCUUCCUUGACUAGUUUCCUUCCCUUCCCCCAUCCUCCUGUGGGAACCAACCCGCAGCUGGUCAGAAGGUUGAGGAAUGCUCUGCCUCGGCUAGGUGCCAAGCUGUGGACUUCCUGGGCUGUGGGGUGGGGCUUGGCAAGGCGAAGUCCUUUGGACACAGAGCCACCCAGUCUUGUAGAGCCUGCCCUUCCCCCACCCCACCCCACCUCUCUCGCUGCUAAGUAAAAGGCUCUGAAGUCUCUCUUUGUGACCACAAUCUAAUUUCCUUCCCCCACCUCAAUAGGAUUUCCUAGCCCGGGUAAAAACAUCUACAAUCUGGGGGCGGGUGCACUGUGGCUCAUAGCGGUAGGCGAGGUACCUAUUUCGGGACCUGCCUUCCCUGCCCCAGGAACGCGUUGCUGGAAGGAGGGAUUCAGUUGUCAGGGUCUCGCGCCAGCAGUUAUUAAUGGCAAUUCAUCCUCUCAAGUUUCUUCUCGGAACCUUGGGUCUAAAGUCCCUAUAUAGUUUAACACAGGAGUAAGCCGAUUUCUGAGUACCUGACCUUGACUUGGCCUUCGUUUCCCUGAAAUAAAUAAGCUGAAAUCUGAACUCACACGUCCAGAUCAAGAGCAAGGAAAUCUUUGCAGCCCAAUGUAGCCGACUGAGAUGCGUUUAGCAAGAAUGAGGAGCCGGCAAAAAAGCCACUUUAUCAUGGAGGGCGUCCAAGCCUGACAAGGACUUCUCUGUCCUACUGAAGGGGCUAGCCGUUCCAAAAUGCUUUUGCAUUUGUGGGAGGAGAAUCUUCUGAUAAUGCAGUUCGGUGGCGCCCCCUGCCUCACAGCUCCCCGGUGCCACUUUUGCAGCCAGUCUGCCUGACGUCAUCAUCUAUAGACCUGUGCCAGAUUCCCAAGUUCCUCUCUGGAAACUUCAGCCCCCACACCCUGAGCCUAGGGGAGAGCCAAUGUAGGUCACUGCAGCUGAGCCUGCAGGGCUGUCUGCUCCUUGGGCAGAGAGCCUUUCAGGCCCAGAGGAAGUCUUGCAGAGAAGCAAAAGGAAGAGCUCAGUGAGAUUCAGACAAAAAUAUAUAUCUUGGAAAAUAAAGCAGAGCCGGGGGCGUGGGGGUGGCGCACGCUUUCAAUCCCAGAGUUUGGGCGGCAGAAGCAGGUGGAUCUCUGAGAUCGAGGCCAGCCUGGUCUGCAGAGCAAGUUUCAGGGCAGCCAAAGUGGCAUAGAGAAACCCUGUCUCACCCCCUCCCUGCUAAAACGAACUGAAGAAGGAAGGAAAGCAGGGAGAAAGCCGGAGGCAAGUGGUCAGAGCCGAGGCUGUAACAGGAGCUGGAGUCUGCAGAGCUAGCCAUGCUUGGGGGAGAGCCAGAGGAGGCUUGGGCACGCUCCGGUUCUUGGCUACCCUCUUCUUGCUUUCCUUGCCUAUGUAAGGCGACUCUGGUGCCUGUCCUCUAUUCUUCAGUCACUUGGUAGGCUCAGCUCUCAAUCCUCAGGAGCCUCUGGGAUUUAUCUUAGAGACCCUCUACUUCCUCUGGCCACAGUGUCGGGGUCUUGGAGGGAACCUGGAGUGGACUGCCUCUGCCCCCACCCUGUCCUAUUGAAAACCCUUUCCUGCUUGUUAUCUGCUAAACUCAUUUUACCCAGGGAACUUCCAACCCUCUUAUCCCUUUCCUUCCCUUCUUCCUACGCUUACCCUGGAGAUCUAAGUAAUAGGAGUGUGGGUAAAUAUAAACUCAUUAUUCUAGUUUCACACAGGGGAAUCAAGGGCCCAUGGCUUUAUCCAGCUUUGAGUCCCCAGGCGAAGGGGAAGAUGAAGGAGAAGGAAAAAGAGGAGGAGGAAAAGGAGGAGGCAGCAGCAGCAGCAGCAAGGGCUAGAGAGAGAUGGCUCAGCAGUUAUGAGCACUGGCUGCUCUUCCAGAGGUUCAGUUCCCGCCCAUCUCUAAUGCCUACAACCAUCUGUAACUCCAGUUCUAAGAGGGCCAAUGCUUUUCUGUCCUCUACAGACACCAGCCAUGCACAAAUACGUAGGUAGACACGCAGGCAAAACACUCAUAGACAUAAAUAGGAUAAUAAAAACAAAUACUUCUAGUCUCAAAAAAAAAUAUUUAUUAGUCACAGUCCUGGUAGGUUUUUGGGGGAAGUGGGGGGUGUUCAUUUGCUUUUUCGUUUGUGUUUGUUUGUUUUGGGGACAGGGUCCCACUGUGUGGAGCAAGCUGGCCUCAAAUUCAGAGAUCCACCGACCUCCGGCCUUCAGGGCUGAGUGCAGGGAUUAAAGAUGUGUCCUAUGGUGUCUGCCACCUCAUCUGGUCUUAGUGCUGAGACUUGAACCCACAACUUUGUCUAUACUCAGGGGCAUCUUCAGUCCCCAAAUUUUAAGCCUGUUUUAACUGGAAACAAGGGUGUGGGGGAGGGGAAGUGGUGGAAGGAUCUAGUCCUCUCUGCUUCCUUCUUCCCCUGAGAGUACAGUCAACUCCCGAGAAGGUGUACGGGUAGUAUAUCCUGCUACUGCUUGGUGCCCAUUUGCCUUCAUUAGCAGAAUCCUGGCGCCCAGGAGGCACUCUGAUAAAUGGGUUUUGCACAGAGUCAAACUAAAUCUGACUAUGCUUUCUGACUGAACUGAGACGUUGUCCCACAUUGGAGAAAGGUUAAAAAAUUAUCCCCAGAUCACAGCUGGAUCUCCUGGAGAGAACAAGGACCUCGAGCUGUGUUUCCCUUCCAUUCUUUCCCAUGACCCCUCUGGUGGGCGUCCUAAACCAGAUUCCUGAGCUGUCCCCAGUUUGAGUCAGUGAGGCUCAGGUAAGCCUAAGAAUUGGCAUUUCUCACAGGGUCCCAGGUAAAGCGGACAUGAAUCUCCUUUACUGAUCUGAGAAUCAUCGCCUCAGUGAAUCCCAGCUCCUAACCUCAAUGUUCACACAGAAGACCUGCUUGGUUUCAAUUUUAUACAGGAGGAAGGAAGAGGGGAGAAUUCCGAGCAUCCUAAAUUUGUCCGCCACACAAGACAAGGGUAAGCAGGUCAAUCUCGGACUGGUUAUCUGUGCUCUCUUUAUUUAGUUCCUUGACUCCAUCCUUAUUGAAAGUCACUUCCCCCCAAACAUGUUUUGCUACAGCGAGGGAGCACUAGGAAUUUCCUGUGGCUAGGCAGCCCAGUGCCGGCAGGGGUGGAGGCAGAGCUAGGCAAUCCAGUCCUUCCCUUGGCUCGGGCAGGGCCACGUGCCCCACCCCCUCGCUUGCACAUGUCUCCGCCGCCACCGCCGCAACAGCCGGGCUGUUUAUGAGCGAGUUGUUGUGGUAGAAAUGGAGCAGGCUGCACAUGCCCGGGCCAUGUGACCCGGGCAGCCCGCGUGAGCUUCAAGACAGCACAAACACACUCGGCCCUGUCCUCCAGUGGCCGGAGGAACAGGCGGGAAGGAAGGGGGAAGAAGGGAAAGGCCACUGGGCCGUCUUGUUAUCUGCUGCCCUGUUUUCUGCUUAUGUCCUUUUUGUCUCUUUGCUGAGACGCUGAUAGCACAGUCAACAGCAAGUAAGCCUGGUUUCUCCAGGAUGCUCACUCCCCAAACAGCUCUUUGGCAUUUGCACCCACCCAGAGCCCAAAUCCCCCAAAUAACAAAGGGUCUCUCCAGGUCAGGAACACAGUAUAUCUCACCCCAGUCUCCUUAAGAUGUAUCGUCCCAUAGUCUCCAAGCUGAGACCUGGCUUUUCCUGGAGCCUGGGCUCCCCCCAACCAGGCUUCCCUUAUCCCCUCUUUCUAGGAAGGACGAUGUCACACAUUAGUGCAGCUAGUGCCCACUCCAAGAUUAGAACAAGGAGAAUUCAGCGAUUUACGAGCCGGGGACAGGAAGCUAAGAAUGUGUUUGCAGCGGGGGGUCUGUGGGUCCGGUGGAUCGGACGGGGAAGUCCCUUUGGUGGUGAGGAGGAGCUGGAGACCUAGAAAGGCUGUCACACCCGACUUCUGAAGAACAAGCAACGGGGGUAAAAGACAAGUUUAGCUUUCAUCCCUCACUAAAACGCCCCCCCCCCCGCUUACGGCUCACAGGGACUGGGACCCCAGAGCCCCUACUUCCAGCCCACAGCUCCUGCCCCCUUGCCCACUGGUGACCUUGUUUCUGCACUGCAGUGCUAAGACUGCAGGAGUCAGGCGGACAGUAGGUUAGCAGGAACAAGCAAAUGAAAUGAGAGCGACCCACAUUUCCUCACACACCGAAAAACUUUGCAGCUUCUGCAUUGCAGAGCCGGUGCUUUUUAUUUAUUUAGUUAUUUAUUUAUUUUUUCAAAUCUCUCCACUGGGCCCCUACACACGUCUGCAUUUUUGCAACCCGCACAGAUUUUUUUUCCCCCUCCAGGGUGCAAACUGUGCAUUCUAAUGAGCCAAAGCUCCUUCCUGCCGCAUUGAAAAUUUCAUCAAAUCCUGUCCCCUCCCCCCACUUAGAAGAGUGGGAAGGAUCCUAAAUUUGUGAAGUAGCAUCUUCUCCCUCCUUCCCCUGACUCCCUUCCCCUCAUCAUACUGCAGACCUUCCAACCAACAGCUGCAACCAAGGGAGGAGGACCAGGAACGUGAGCCUUAUUCCUUCCUUCCUUCCACACAAGCUGAGCUAGCCAGGCAGGGGUUGCUUUCUUUUUUUUGUUUUUUUAUUUCCACCACCACCACCCUCCCCCCGCAGCCCACUACACCCUCCUUUCCCUCCGCAUCCCAGCCAGUGUUUAUGUAAGCCUCCCAGAAGCUACACAUGGCCCCCAGUGCUUGCCCAGGCCCCAGUUUCUCCAAAGUCCAUCCUUCUCACGAGGACUGUCAUGAGCUUCUGGCUUCCCUAAGCAGCUGCACAGAGAUCUGCCCAAAGAAGAGGAGACGCUGGAUCCGGAGAGGGUUUGAGGUGCAGCUUAGAAUGGAGAUGAGAAAGGCACAGAGACACCCUGCCUCCUCAUGCAUAUACACACCACAGGCUUCUCUGCACCUUAAUCCACAGGAUAGGCACGCAGCAGGGGCUUAGAAGACAGUAUCACCAGUGGGCUACAGGAAUAGUAUAGCAGGACAGGAGACAUCAGUAUGACAUGCUAGAUACUACGGUCUCCCUAGGUCUCCCUAGCUAGAAAGACGGACUCUUUACCAGAUAAAGGGUCAGCCGGUGUUUAUCUUACACUGCCAAGGACACUCUAUGCCACUUACAGGAUCCUGUGAUGUGACUUAGAUUCUGGGCUCAGAAGAGGUGACCCUCCUCUGAGUUCCCAGAGCAUUAAGGUAUCGUUGAUCCUGGAUGGUGGCUUUAAAGGUACACAUUUCUCAGGCAGGUAAAUGGGAGAGCCAGAUCAUCUUUCCUUUAGGGUCACGUCACAACUUCUGUCUUAAAUGUCCAGCUCAUUCAUUCAUUUACGUAUUUAUUUAUUAGAACAGGGUCUCGCCGACUGGCUUAGAACUCACCAUGCAGACCAGGAUGGGCUAGAACUCACACAACCCCACCGACCUCUAUCUCCCAAGCUAGGAACAAAGAACGGUCAUCAAAAAACGGGCUCAACCCAGUUUUAACACAUCCCUGGAAGGAAGCACCAAGGGGCUCUGAGGCCCCUGGCCUAUCAGCCCUUGUCCCAAUUCAUCACCAGCUGUGGACCCCAUAAUUAGAGGACUUGAUAGAAAAAGAACUCUGAUGACUGCUUGGGUCCCACACCUCUGGAGCAGCCCCCGAGAAAAUUUUGGUUUUUGUUUUUAAUCGCUCGUUGGUUUGGUCAUUGCAUCCUACUCUGGGCCCUUCCUUCUCUGUACAAUCAGAUGAUGGGAACGUAGGAUGGCCAAAGGGUUUAAGGGAAGAGGAAAUGCUGGAGUUAGAGGAGCGGUUCUGGGAAGCCAAGGCUCUUGCGUGGGAGGGAGCAAAAGCUUCUCUUUUGGUGCCACACCUUCCUUAAGGCACCAUCACUGUUUGGGAUGUAUCUCUUCCAGCACCCGUUCUCCCUGGGAAGGGAGAUCUUGCUAGCUGAAUUUCUUCUUCGAUCCUGGCCCUGAAACCCCAGCACUACCUUGCUUACUGACAGUGACACAGUGGCUGUUCCAACUGAGGCUGGGGAGCUUCACACUUCCAAUGACCUCCAUUAACUCUGUCCUUCUUUGGUAGUGUUCUGUAAAUACAGUUUGAAGACAAAUCUCCUUAUGUCUCAGUUUCCUGAUCUCCAGUAUACAAGAAUGUGACCUACUACCCUGCGAAGCUAUGAAAACCAAAGGAGAUCAUGUUCAUCAGGCUCUCAGCCCAGGGCAUGGCAUACAGUUGGUCCUUAAUAUGAAAUUUACUGUCUGAUUUUUCCUGGAAAGAACUGUGAUUGGGUAAAGGUGGAGAAACGCAUCCAUUGAACCCAGCCAGUCCUGGCUCUUGCCUUAUCCUCUCUUUUCUCAACUCAGACUUUGUCUCUCCUAUCUUGAGGUCCUCCCCGCCAACAGGGAGAUUUUGGGUAGGAUAGGGAAAACCAGCUAGCCUUUUAGAAACCAGGAGAAUGAUCUAGAAAGGCAGGAAAUGAGCCUCUCUCAUAGGUAAGUGGCUGCUUUCCUGAUUCAGGGGCAUCCCCAGGUUUCUAUCCCAGGUUUGCAUCACCUGGGCCAACAGGUUUUUACCCUGGGCACUGAGGCCUUGGUGAGAAAGGAGGGGGAUGGGAAGGCACCUACUGAAGCCUGACCUAUUUUCAUUUGGGACCCACCCUCAGUCACUCAGUCAAACAGUCUGCCCAAGAUUUAGGCCACUGGAGAUCUGCACAGGGUGUUGUCCUGUUCCCCAGAACCACCUCCUGUCAAGGAGAAUAGAUCUUGGAUCACAUACCCACCCGGCCAUGUACACUCAGUGCACAAACUCACGUGUAAAGGUGAUGCUUAUACUCAUGAUCACAAGCUUCUGGCCCCUCAGUAGUAUGCAGAGGACCUCUAGCCAGAGCUUAAAAGUCUUGAUCUUUCCUUUUUCUAUUUUUCUUUAAAGUUUUUUAUUUUUUAUGAUUUAUUUAUUUAUUAUGUAUAAGUACACUGUUGCUCUCUUCAGACACACCAGAAGGAGACAUUGGAUCCCAUUACAGAUGGUUGUGAGCCACCAUGUGGUUGCUGGGAUUUGAACUCAGGACCUCUGGAAGAGCAGUCAGUGCUCUUAACCGCUGAGCCAUCUCUCCACCUUGUUUUUCUGUCUCUGAUGUCUUUUCCAGUUCAAAGGAUCCUGGGAAAACUAAGGACAAAGUUGAAAAUGCAAACACACAGAGGAUUCAACAAAGCCUCUAAAUAGUGAGAUUUCUCCUCAGGAUCCCAGACUUUUCAAAGAAACCAAGUGGAAGAACUCACAAUAUGGAUUGGAUCCAGGGCUGGGCUUAAUUGAGUGCCAGUCAUUAAGUCUAAUCUCUUGGGGGCUAAGGCUGGCUUUACAUAUAUGCGUGCAUGUAUGUGUGUGUGUGUGUAUCUGUGUGUCUGUGUGUGUGUGUAUCUGUGUGUCUGUGUGUGUGUAUCUGUGUAUGUGUCUGUGUGUGUCUAUGUGUAUAUCUGUGUGUGUAUGUGUGUAUGUGUCUACAUGUGUGUGUAUGUAUAUAUGUGUGUCUGUGUGUGUAUCUGUGUAUGUGUGUGUGUGUUUGUAUGUAUGUGUGUAUGUGUCUAUGUGUGUCUCCCUCUGAGUUUGUGUGUGUACAUGUGUUAAGCUAGAAUGUCUGACUAGUGGGAGGGGAAGGUUGUUGUUGUGUGGUUGUUUUUACAGAGAUUUUUGACUAAUUGAUUGAUUGACUGAGACAAGUUUCAUGCUCUCACCAAGAAUUGGUGGCCUGGCACUCUAAGUAGCCCAGGCUCACUCUGAACUCACAGUAAUUCUCCUGCCUCAACUUCUAGACUUCUUGGACUAUAGGCAUAGUCAGCCACCAUCCUACUGGCUAUCAGGUAUGCUCAACUACCUCUGUUGUCUUGUUUUAUUUUUUAGUUAACUAAAUUUUUUAUGUGUGUGGGUAUUUUGCCCCCUGCAUGUAUGUAUGUCCCUGGUGCCCAUAGAGGCCAGAAAACGGUACCAGAUUCUUGGGAGCUGGUGUUACAAGAUGGUUGUGAGCUGCCAUGUGGGCCUUGGGUAUUGAUCCUCUGCAAGAGCAACAGUUGCUCUCAACUGCUGAACCAUCUCCCUACGCUUGUCUUCAGCCAAGGUUCAAGUCAAUGAGAAGCCACACAUCUAGUUACCACCCCCCAAACCCUGGCUCCCUGGUUCCUUUGCUCUUCUUCCAGAAGCUCCUGAUAGAGAAAGGAAUACAGCUUACAGUUUAGAAUUUUCUAGAGCCAAGGAAAAGCCCUACCUUUCAUUUUGUUCCCUGGAACACAACAAAAAAGAAAGAGCAUGGGAAGUGGGCUUAUACUGCUAUACCUGCUACAGAAGGAGUCUCUAAAGACACUUUGACUUGGUGUAUGGUUAACACAUCUGUAACCCCAGUGCUUGGGAGGCAGAAAGCAGAAAGAUUAAAACUGCAAGGCCAGCCAAUAGAAGUAGACCCUGUCUCAAAAAUAAAAUAAGAUUUAAAAAAAACAAAAACAAAAACAAAAAACCACUCUUUGUCAGGGAGAAAAGGAGGAGCCCUGUAUUAAGUGGAGAGGAAACAGGGAUCUGAUGUAACCGCCCCAAAGGCCUCUCCUUCCUUUCCUCCCAGCCUCAGCUUUCAUACCUCACACAGACUACAAAACAACCUUGCUUCUUGCCAAGAGCAGGGUCAGGCCGAAUGAAUUUCGACUCUGGUUCUCUCUUCUCCCUGGCUGUGAACUCCAGGAGGGAGUCUUGAUCUCUGGCCCUCCCCUGAUAUGAAAACAUGCUGAGCAAGAGGAUGUGGGCAGGACCACCACAGUUGCAAACAGAGCUGAGGGCCUUCGGGGGACCCAGAGCAACUAAAGGAAGCAGGGGAGUGAACUAUGUUGGAGGCAAUGCUGGGACUAGGCGUG